rnacentral:snoRNA from 1 species
GUUUGGAUUGUGAGGAGGUAAUUGAUGCAUAAUCCAACACUUGAUCAGAGGAUGGCUUUUGUCGUCCAUAUGACGUUACACAUCUCUGCAUCUGAAUCCAGUC